CAUCUAGGCAAUAUAGUGGAGUGGUUUAAAGCAUAGUUCUGGACUCAGACUUCCCUAUACAAAUCCAAAAUGCUUUGUUAAAGUUGGAGCACCUUUUGAACAGAGCUGGCUGUGAUCAUAUUUGCUGCUAAGUGGAUUAAUGAGACUGACGUUUACUAGACAAAAGACAGAUGGCUACUCAGUGAGAUAUUUAUACCUGGAUGACUGGUAUCUCUUUUGACUGGACUGGUGUCUGAAGACUGAUUGUUCAAGGCAGUAUUAUACCUGCUGAUAAGUAUUUUGAAUAUCACCUCUGUUCUUUAUCUUUUGACAACAGAGAUAACCUCAUUUAUAUAAAGGAGUAUUGAUUUUUAACUUAACUUUUUGGAAUUUUAACAUUUUGUGCUAAGGAAAGAAUGUGUGUGUGUGUGUGUGUGUGUGUGUGUGUAGUGUGUAAAUCACACAAACAGAUUCAAAAGACAAGUAUAUAGUAGUAUCCAAUGGCUCAUAAGAAUUUGUUGUAGAGUUAGCUGAAACUUACUUUCAGAAUUUGAUUUUAUAUUUUGGGUUGAAAGAGUACUGAUCUGAGAGGCAAAACUCUCAAUUUGAUCAUGGCUGCAUAAUCUUAGGCAUCUCAACAUUGGGCUUUACUUAUCCAUUUGUAAAAUGAGGUGGAUAAGAUAUCUUUAAAGUCAACUCUGGCCAUAAAUUUUUAUGAUUCUUUAGCAUGUGUUCCUUUUAACAAGUCGAAAGUUUCUAGGAUA
rnacentral:lncRNA from 1 species